GAUGAAGAACGUAGCAAAAUGCGAUACUUGGUGCGAAUUGCAGAAUCCCGUGAACCAUCGAGUUUUUGAACGCAAGUUGCGCCCGAAGCCUUUUGGCCGAGGGCACGUCUGCCUGGGCGUCACGCAUCGCGUCGCCCCCCACAAUUCUCUGUAAAGGGAACUCGUGUUUUGGGGGCGGAUAUUGGUCUCCCGUGCUCAUGGCGUGGUUGGCCGAAAUAGGAGUCCCUUCGAUGGACGCACGAACUAGUGGUGGUCGUAAAAACCCUCGUCUUUUGUUUCGUGCUGUUAGUCGCAAGGGAAACUCUAAGAAAACCCCAACGUGUCGUCUUUUGACGGCGCUUCGACCGCGACCCCAGGUCAGGCGGGACUACCCGCUGAGUUUAAGCAUAUCAAUAAGCGGAGGA
rnacentral:misc_RNA from 1 species